CAAAGAUACCUCAGAGCUUCCAGCCUCCGCUCGGAGCUACCGAAACACGCAUCUGUAACGCAGGUGGACAUUGAUUCCUGAGAGGAUCGCCAAAGAGAUUUUUAAACUGCAACAUACUAUUUAGCUCCAGAGAAGUGAGAACAUGGACUCUCACAACCCAG